GCUUAAUUUUAAACUAUCUUGUAUUGUCUUUGUGUUGCAGAUAUGUCUAGUCAUGUCGCUCCAGAUAUUAUUGAUAAAGACAAAUUGACUGCUCCAAUGCCUAAAAAAGCUAAUUAUAAAUCAAAACAUCCACACCACUACCAAAUGUUACAAAAAGAAAGAUUUGCAAUCAGUGUUCAUCCUUAACGCUGGAAAAGUCCAAGCAACAGGACAUGAAAUCAUUUUUAUCUUGGUUUCAAGACAAUCUGGC